AAAAGAGAGAGAGUGUAGAGAGGUAACCAAGUGUGAAAAGUUUAUGUCUCCGUCGAAUUUCUUGGUGGCUUCUAAUGGAUCCUUUUCUCGGUAGAUCAAUUGUCAUUCCAUGGACGACGGUGUAUGAUCCGAUGUAACACAAAUUUGUGCUCAUCAUAGGACACUCCAUUGGUCGUGUUUAAGAAGCUUUGGGUUGAUUGGUUCAGUUUUUACACUUUGAGAGUUUAUGUUUCCGCAUUGUGGUAGUAAUAAUAAUUUAUACAUUAUAUUUUAAACUCUACACUAAGUUAUCAGCUCAACUAGAUGUCAAAUGCCUAACUCAAGAGAGGUCGAGUAGUAAAUCAGACCAACUAGAGAAAACACAAGAAGGCAAAUCCAAGAUUCCACCAAAAUAAGGUUGAUCCAUGUAGAAAAAAGACCGUUAGGUGAGGCUGAGCCCGUGUUGAGACGAGAAUAGAAAGUGAGGCCAUGUCAAGAGUAAGCCAAUGCAGAGGUGGCCUAAAAAAGCAAGGAAGACCUUACCAGUACCAAAACAUUCAUUGUGGCUCGUUGGCUAAUAUCUUCGUGUUAGGCAAUUUUGGACGUGGGACGUAUCCAUUCAAAUGAAGUUUCCAAAUUCUGUAACUUUCUGAGUUUCUUAUAGAUCAUAAAUGCUUGAAUCGCCACGAAAACUUUUGGUUUCAGCAAUAGUAUUCGAUUAGUA
rnacentral:lncRNA from 1 species